rnacentral:rRNA from 1 species
GCAUCGGGUUCACUCCCAACCCAAUGUGACGUUACCAAACUGUUGCCUCGGCGGGAUCUCUGUGAAGGCGUCGCAGCCCCGGACCAAGGCGCCCGCGGAAACCAACCAAAACUCUUUUUGUAUACCCCCUCGCGGGUUUUUUAUAAUCUGAGCCUUCUCGGCGCCUUUCGUAGGCGUUUCGAAAAUGAAUCAAAACUUUCAACAACGGAUCUCUUGGUUCUGGCAUCGAUGAAGAACGCAGCGAAAUGCGAUAAGUAAUGUGAAUUGCAGAAUUCAGUGAAUCAUCGAAUCUUUGAACGCACAUUGCGCCCGCCAGUAUUCUGGCGGGCAUGCCUGUCCGAGCGUCAUUUCAACCCUCGAACCCCUCCGGGGGGCCGGCGUUGGGGAUCGGCCCUGCCCCUUGGCGGUGGCCGUCUCCGAAAUACAGUGGCGGUCUCGCCGCAGCCUCUCCUGCGCAGUAGUUUGCACACUCGCAUCGGGAGCGCGUCGCGUCCACAGCCGUUAAACACCCAACUUCUGAAAUGUUGACCUCGGAUCAGGUAGGAAAUACCCGCUGAACUUAAGCAUAUCAAUAAGCGGAGGAACGGCAUCGAGGCUCACUCCAACCCAAUGUGAACGUUACCAAACUGUUGCCUCGGCGGGAUCUCUGGGGGGGGCGUCGCAGCCCCGGACCAAGGCGCCCGCCGGAGGACCAACCAAAACUCUUUUUGUAUACCCCCUCGCGGGUUUUUUAUAAUCUGAGCCUUCUCGGCGCCUCUCGUAGGCGUUUCGAAAAUGAAUCAAAACUUUCAACAACGGAUCUCUUGGUUCUGGCAUCGAUGAAGAACGCAGCGAAAUGCGAUAAGUAAUGUGAAUUGCAGAAUUCAGUGAAUCAUCGAAUCUUUGAACGCACAUUGCGCCCGCCAGUAUUCUGGCGGGCAUGCCUGUCCGAGCGUCAUUUCAACCCUCGAACCCCUCCGGGGGGUCGGCGUUGGGGAUCGGCCCUGCCUCUUGGCGGUGGCCGUCUCCGAAAUACAGUGGCGGUCUCGCCCCACCCUCUCCUGCGCAGUAGUUUGCACACUCGCAUCGGGAGCGCGGCGCGUCCACAGCCGUUAAACACCCAACUUCUGAAAAUGUUGACCUCGGAUCAGGUAGGAAUACCCGCUGAACUUAAGCAUAUCAAUAAGCGGGAGGAAC